rnacentral:tRNA from 1 species
GGGGGUACAGCUCAGUGGUAGAGUGUGUGCUUAGCAUGUAUAGGGUCCUGGGUUCGAUCCCUGGUAACUCCA